GACGUAGGGCGCGAGCGUUGUCCGGAUUUAUUGGGCGUAAAGAGCUCGUAGGCGGCUUGUCGCGUCGUUCGUGAAAACCUGCAGCUCAACUGCAGGCUUGCGGUCGAUACGGGCAGGCUAGAGUUCGGUAGGGGAGACUGGAAUUCCUGGUGUAGCGGUGAAAUGCGUAGAUACCUGGAGGAACACCGGUGGCGAAGGCGGCAUCCUGGACCGGCAUUGACGCUGAGGCGCGAAAGCCAGGGGAGCAAACGGG
rnacentral:rRNA from 1 species